rnacentral:rRNA from 1 species
UGGGGAAUUUUGGACAAUGGGGGAAACCCUGAUCCAGCCAUCCCGCGUGUGCGAUGAAGGCCUUCGGGUUGUAAAGCACUUUUGGCAGGAAAGAAACGUCAUGGGUUAAUACCCCGUGAAACUGACGGUACCUGCAGAAUAAGCACCGGCUAACUACGUGCCAGCAGCCGCGGUAAUACGUAGGGUGCAAGCGUUAAUCGGAAUUACUGGGCGUAAAGCGUGCGCAGGCGGUUCGGAAAGAAAGAUGUGAAAUCCCAGAGCUCAACUUUGGAACUGCAUUUUUAACUACUGGGCUAGAGUGUGUCAGAGGGAGGUGGAAUUCCGCGUGUAGCAGUGAAAUGCGUAGAUAUGCGGAGGAACACCGAUGGCGAAGGCAGCCUCCUGGGAUAACACUGACGCUCAUGCACGAAAGCGUGGGGAGCAAACAGG